rnacentral:rRNA from 1 species
GAUGAACGCUGGCGGCGUGCCUAAUACAUGCAAGUCGAGCGAACGGACGAGAAGCUUGCUUCUCUGAUGUUAGCGGCGGACGGGUGAGUAACACGUGGAUAACCUACCUAUAAGACUGGGAUAACUUCGGGAAACCGGAGCUAAUACCGGAUAAUAUUUUGAACCGCAUGGUUCAAAAGUGAAAGACGGUCUUGCUGUCACUUAUAGAUGGAUCCGCGCUGCAUUAGCUAGUUGGUAAGGUAACGGCUUACCAAGGCAACGAUGCAUAGCCGACCUGAGAGGGUGAUCGGCCACACUGGAACUGAGACACGGUCCAGACUCCUACGGGAGGCAGCAGUAGGGAAUAUUCCGCAAUGGGCGAAAGCCUGACGGAGCAACGCCGCGGGAGUGAUGAAGGUCUUCGGAUCGUAAAACUCUGUUAUUAGGGAAGAACAUAUGUGUAAGUAACUGUGCACAUCUUGACGGUACCUAAUCAGAAAGCCACGGCUAACUACGUG